AUUUAGGUUCUCUGUAACCUGUGUGACGUGUAUUUAGGUGUCUCUAAUCUGUGUGACGUGUAUUUAGGUGUCUCUCUGUAACCUGUGUGACGUGUAUUUAGGUGUCUCUGUAACCUGUGUGAUGACGUGUAUUUAGGUGCUCUGUAACCUGUGUGACGUGUAUUUAGGUGUCCUCUCUGUAACCUGUUGUGACGUGUUUAGGUAGGUGUCUGCUCUGUAACCUGUGUGACGUGUAUUUAGGUU
rnacentral:lncRNA from 1 species